AGAGUUUGAUCCUGGCUCAGAUUGAACGCUGGCGGCAUGCCUUACACAUGCAAGUCGAACGGCAGCACGGAGCUUGCUCUGGUGGCGAGUGGCGAACGGGUGAGUAAUAUAUCGGAACGUACCCUAGAGUGGGGGAUAACGUACCGAAAGUUACGCUAAUACCGCAUACGAUCUAAGGAUGAAAGUGGGGGAUCGCAAGACCUCAUGCUCGUGGAGCGGCCGAUAUCUGAUUAGCUAGUUGGUAGGGUAAAAGCCUACCAAGGCAUCGAUCAGUAGCUGGUCUGAGAGGACGACCAGCCACACUGGAACUGAGACACGGUCCAUACUCCUACGGGAGGCAGCAGUGGGGAAUUUUGGACAAUGGGCGAAAGCCUGAUCCAGCAAUGCCGCGUGAGUGAAGAAGGCCUUCGGGUUGUAAAGCUCUUUUGUCAGGGAAGAAACGGUGAGAGCUAAUAUCUCUUGCUAAUGACGGUACCUGAAGAAUAAGCACCGGCUAACUACGUGCCAGCGGCCGCGGUAAUACGAUAGGGUGCAAGCGUUAAUCGGAAUUACUGGGCGUAAAGCGUGCGCAGGCAGCUUUGUAAGUCUGAUGUGAAAUCACCAGGCUCAGCCUGCGAAUUGCAUCGUAGACUGCUAGGCUACAAUCUGGCAGAGGGGGGUAGUAUUCCACGUGUAGCACUGAAAUGCGUACAUAUGUGGA
rnacentral:rRNA from 1 species